rnacentral:lncRNA from 1 species
UCUUAUUGAACAACGCCAACCAACCAAUUCUUAAUAGAAAAACAAUAUCUAUUAAAACAAAUGAAUUAGACCAAUCAAGUAAGAGAAGAUUUCAACGUGCAAGUCAUAAUAGGAAAAGAUAAUAUUUUAACUUAAAUCAAAAUAGAGUCCAACUAGAAAAGUAAUCUUAAGAGAUAAAGUCUAAUCCUAUUAAAAAUAAGAU